rnacentral:tRNA from 1 species
GCCUCCAUAGCUCAGUUGGUAGAGCAUUCGCCUAGACAACGAAAGGCCUCCAGUUCAAACCUGGGGGGAAGCA